UUAAUUAUCUCUGAAUCCAUGUUCCUAAGGUUUCUGCUAUGGAGGAUGGAUCGUGUCCUUUGGGGACUCAGGGUUUGACUGGAAACGGUUUGGCCUUCCGUAUUUGAAAAAGAGAUGGAGA
rnacentral:ncRNA from 1 species